rnacentral:rRNA from 1 species
AACUAACAAGGAUCCCCUAGUAACGGCGAGUGAAGCGGGAAAAGCUCAAAUUUGUAAUCUGGCGCCUUGGGCGUCCGAGUUGUAAUCUCGAGAAGUAUUUUCCGCGCUGGACCGCACAUAAGUCUGUUGGAAUACAGCGUCAUAGUGGUGAGAACCCCGUAUAGGGUGCGGAUGCCCAGUGCUUUGUGAUAUACUUUCGAAGAGUCGAGUUGUUUGGGAAUGCAGCUCAAAUUGGGUGGUAAAUUCCAUCUAAAGCUAAAUAUUGGCGAGAGACCGAUAGCGAACAAGUACCGUGAGGGAAAGAUGAAAAGCACUUUGGAAAGAGAGUUAACAGUACGUGAAAUUGUUGGAAGGGAAACGCUUGAAGUCAGACUUGCAUUUUGGAGUUCAGCCGCAAGGUGUAUUCUUCAAUUCGCAGGCCAGCAUCAGUUUUUGGGGGUGGAAAAGCGCGGUUCGAAGGUAGCAGUCUCGGCUGUGUUAUAGCUUGCCGCUGGAUUCACUUUUGGGGACUGAGGAACGCAGUACACUUUUUGCAAGAUUCUCGGAUCUUUCGUACUUAGGAUGCUGGUGGAAUGGCUUUAAACGAC